GACGAACGCUGGCGGCGUGCUUAACACAUGCAAGUCGAACGAUGAAGCCUAGCUUGCUAGGUGGAUUAGUGGCGAACGGGUGAGUAAUACGUGAGUAACCUACCUUUAACUCUGGGAUAAGCCUGGGAAACUGGGUCUAAUACCGGAUACGACCAAUCUCCGCAUGGGGUGUUGGUGGAAAGCGUUAUGUAGUGGUUAUAGAUGGGCUCACGGCCUAUCAGCUUGUUGGUGAGGUAACGGCUCACCAAGGCGACGACGGGUAGCCGGCCUGAGAGGGUGGCCGGCCACACUGGGACUGAGACACGGCCCAGACUCCUACGGGAGGCAGCAGUGGGGAAUAUUGCACAAUGGGCGCAAGCCUGAUGCAGCGACGCCGCGUGAGGGAUGACGGCCUUCGGGUUGUAAACCUCUGUUAGCAGGGAAGAAGAGAAAUUGACGGUACCUGCAGAGAAAGCGCCGGCUAACUACGUG
rnacentral:rRNA from 1 species